rnacentral:rRNA from 1 species
AGUGAACGCUGGCGGUAGGCCUAACACAUGCCAGUCGAACGGCAGCACAGUAAGAGCUUGCUCUUACGGGUGGCGAGUGGCGGACGGGUGAGGAAUACAUCGGAAUCUACUUUUUCGUGGGGAUAACGUAGGGAAACUUACGCUAAUACCGCAUACGACCUACGGGUGAAAGCAGGGGAUCUUCGGACCUUGCGCGAUUGAAUGAGCCGAUGUCGGAUUAGCUAGUUGGCGGGGUAAAGGCCCACCAAGGCGACGAUCCGUAGCUGGUCUGAGAGGAUGAUCAGCCACACUGGAACUGAGACACGGUCCAGACUCCUACGGGAGGCAGCAGUGGGGAAUAUUGGACAAUGGGCGCAAGCCUGAUCCAGCCAUACCGCGUGGGUGAAGAAGGCCUUCGGGUUGUAAAGCCCUUUUGUUGGGAAAGAAAAGCAGCAGGUUAAUACCCCGCUGUUCUGACGGUACCCAAAGAAUAGGCACCGGCUAACUUCGUG